GUCCAAGUCCUCCGUUUGGAGCUGAAGCAAGUUGUCGCCUUCGGUCAGGUCGCCCCCUAUUUUUCAUGGUGGAUGAGAUUGGAGGGUGGGGGACAAUACCUACUCUGGAGUCACUAGGUCUAAGUGUGGCAAAGUUAGGUCCAGGCUAUGAGGUCUGAUUGUGCUUGCAGAUUGGAAUUGUUGAAAACCUUAGCCUUCCUGAUCUAGCUAACAAAGAUGUAUGUUUCAGACAAUUAAAAUUCAAGCGUUAGCAUACUUAUACCCCAGGUGCAACACACAGGCUGAUUAGUUCAGAUUUAUUUGUUUUAAGGGUUUUGGUCGGGAUGGUGUAUGUGGCACUUAAAAAUGCUCUAGAAAAAUAAUAUUUUGUCUUCACGUCUUGCUUGUGCACUGCAUAAUUAUACUGUCCACAAAUAACAUACAACAGUAAUACGUUUCUAUCUACCAAUGCAUACUUGCACUGUAAGUCUAUAAAAAUUAGGUGUUGAGCUCCAAGGCUAUUUGUUUAAAGUGACAUUUAUUCAGCGUGUUCCAACCUUUACAUGCCUUAAUUAUAGAAUAAUCUAAUAUUAUGAUUUCUCCAGUAAGCAGUAUACUAGGACUUUGAAUUUGUGCUUUAGGAAAAUUUGAACAGACCUCGUCCACGCCGAUAAUUUCCUGUUACAUCAGGUUGAACAAUUUUGUUUAUGUUGUGAGUGUGGUAAAUAUUCUUUACCACUGGCCACAUAUCUCACUUGUGUUGGUCCCCUAGAAUAUGUUAAUGUUUAGUUUCCAAUUUUUCAUCUAUCAAAUAUCAAUGGACUUUACAUGGUUUCUUGCAAAAAAAAGACUCACAUGGCUCGAGUUUGUUUGCUCAGGAGGUUUCUCUCAUAGAUUAUAAUAGUCAGUGGCUUAAAAGUAUUGUCGGUGCUACAAACAUAAAACUGAUGAAAGAAGAACAUAUUUGUACCUUAUUGCCGGCUGACUAUACACACAAGAACCUCAAAACUCUCAUUAAUGUGUUAUAUAUUUAGUUGCAAUAGUAUUUGAUUUUUCAUGAAGCAGUAUGCUUACUGUUUCUUCAUUCAAUUUCAUGUGGCAAUGACACGUGGAGGAUGAUGGUCACGAGCGCAUUGUUGCAAGCUCACCGGAGGGAGGCACACAUCUCAUCCAAUGGAAAAGCACGCUCCAAAAAAUCCCUAACCCUCCAUGGAGCCAUUGCUAGGGGGCGACGAGAUCAACGCCACCCACCACGACCACCGAGUUGUACAAGGGCUUCGUGACUGAGCUGGCGAAGAAGAUGUCAGUGGUGGAAGCGGACAUGUUAUAGAAGAUGUUGAGGGUGGCACCGGAGGUAAUGGACAAAUGGGGCUCCUCGGCACCGAAGAGAAGGAUGCUGCAGCGACACCGACACGUACUGGGUUCCAUUUCCAACCAGAGAGAACUUAUGAACGGUAUGUGCGUGAUCCAUUCAUUCUUUCGUUUGAUCCUUCCUUAUUCCUCUCAACUCAGAUUAAUUUUAUUUUGUAAUUAUGCAUGAUUUUGAUGGAUCAAUAAAUUUAGUGGCAUUAAUUGCAAUGAGAAAUAUCGUCUAUCCAUAAACUUCACUUUGUUGUUUUUCAGCUGAACAUGAUAGUUUGUGUCUUUUUGUUAUGGACUUCAAUAUGGUCGAUGGUAGCUUGCUGAAUAAAGCAAGACCGAACACAUAAUUUCAUGCCGAGAGUUUGACCUGUUUAAUUUUGUACGGAAAAUAUUUGCUGCUAAUAAUGAGAAAGUUCUGAUUUGUAAAUGCAAUAUUCUUCCAUGUAUACGGAAUUACAGAUUGAACAAAAUAUAAGCCAAAGUUGAAUCUCAAGCCUUAAUUAAUACUAAAAAAUAAUAUAGGUUUGGUAUAUGUGUAGAAUAGGAUAUUUUUCCUUAAGAAUCUACUAGAUGAGGUGGUCGUUGUCGACAUCCUUGUGAAAGUUCGCAUGAUCUUAGCACGAACCAACUCACAAUGUUAUCUCGAGCAAUGCUUUAUUCACUUAAGUAUCUUUUUUUAGGAAAACACUAGGUUAAAAGCCUACUGUAAAAAAUUAUAUGCAAAGUUAUUAUAAUUGCCAUUUAUGAUCACGAAUGAUCUUACUGAAUGACUGUUCCCAUGGCCUUCAAAGAAGAGAUAUACUAGAAGUUGAGUGCAGUUGGAGGGGCCUUAGUCCUUCUGAGCCAAGAAAAGUAGAUAGGGCCUGUCCAAGCUUUGAAUAGUAGAUGGGGGAAUGUUAAAAUAUUUUGUGAUGACAUGGUUCUAAAUGGUUAGGUAUGUGUCGCAGCCUGUAUUUUUUCAUGGGAUGAUUGGUCUUAAGCAUAAAAAGCCAUCCAUGUGCCACCUAUCAUUUGUAAUGCACAAUAUCGAGUUCUAUGUUUUUGUACCACUUUCUUUAUUUUCUACAUUAGAUCUGACAGUAUAUGUUAGUGAAUUACAUUUUUAUCGAAAUAGAUUACAAGUGAAGAGGAUUUCAAUUGUUUUUUGUAUGUUAUUGGCUAACUUUUUUAUACGUGCGAAAUUUGAUAUGCAAUCAGUAACAACCAACCCACAAUGAAU